rnacentral:rRNA from 1 species
CUACGGGGGGCUCCAGUGAGGAAUUUUGCGCAAUGGGGGAAACCCUGACGCAGCAACGCCGCGUGAGUGAUGAAGGCCUUCGGGUCGUAAAACUCUGUCAAGUGGGAAGAACCUAUGUAAGGUUAAUACCCUUAUGUACUGACGGUACCACUGAAGGAAGCACCGGCUAACUCCGUGCCAGCAGCCGCGGUAAUACGGAGGGUGCAAGCGUUAUUCGGAAUUAUUGGGCGUAAAGGGCGCGCAGGCGGUUUUGUAAGUCAGAUGUGAAAGCCCGGGGCUUAACCUCGGAAGUGCAUUUGAUACUGCAAGACUUGAGUAUGGGAGGGGGAAGUGGAAUUCCUGGUGUAGGGGUGAAAUUCGUAGAUAUCAGGAGGAACACCAGUGGCGAAGGCGACUUCCUGGACCAAUACUGACGCUGAGGCGCGAAGGCGUGGGGAGCAAACAGGAUUAGAUACCCCAGUAGUC